rnacentral:rRNA from 1 species
AACGUAGGAGGCGAGCGUUAUCCGGAUUCACUGGGCGUAAAGCGCGUGUAGGUGGUUCGUUAAGUCGAAUGUGAAAGCCUCUGGCUCAACUGGGGGAGGUCAUUCGAAACUGGCGGACUUGAGGGCAAGAGAGGAAGGUGGAAUUCCCGGUGUAGCGGUGGAAUGCGUAGAGAUCGGGAGGAACACCAGUGGCGAAGGCGGCCUUCUGGCUUGCCCCUGACACUGAUGCGCGAAAGCGUGGGGAG